rnacentral:rRNA from 1 species
AUUGAACGCUGGCGGCAUGCCUUACACAUGCAAGUCGAACGGUAACGCGGGGCAACCUGGCGACGAGUGGCGAACGGGUGAGUAAUGCAUCGGAACGUGCCUGGUAGUGGGGGAUAACUGCUCGAAAGAGCAGCUAAUACCGCAUACGACCUGAGGGUGAAAGGGGGGGAUCGCAAGACCUCUCGCUAUCAGAGCGGCCGAUGUCGGAGUAGCUAGUUGGUGGGGUAAAGGCCCACCAAGGCAACGAUCCGUAGCUGGUCUGAGAGGACGACCAGCCGCGCGGGGACUGAGAGACGGCCCAGACGCCUGCGGGAGGCGGCAGUGGGGAAUUGUGGACAAUGGACGCAAGUCUGAUCCAGCCAUGCCGCGUGCGGGAAGAAGGCCUUCGGGUUGUAAAACGCUUUUGUCAGGGAAGAAAUCUUCUGGGUUAAUACCUCGGGAGGAUGACGGUACCUGAAGAAUAAGCACCGGCUAACUACGUGCCAGCCGCCGCAGUAAGAC